AUUGAACGCUGGCGGCAUGCCUUACACAUGCAAGUCGAACGGUAACGGGCCUUCGGGUGCCGACGAGUGGCGAACGGGUGAGUAAUACAUCGGAACGUGCCCGAUCUUGGGGGAUAACGAGGCGAAAGCUUUGCUAAUACCGCAUACGAUCUACGGAUGAAAGCAGGGGACCGCAAGGCCUUGCGCGGACGGAGCGGCCGAUGGCAGAUUAGUUAGUUGGUGGGAUAAAAGCUUACCAAGCCGACGAUCUGUAGCUGGUCUGAGAGGAUGAUCAGCCACACUGGGACUGAGACACGGCCCAGACUCCUACGGGAGGCAGCAGUGGGGAAUUUUGGACAAUGGGCGCAAGCCUGAUCCAGCCAUGCCGCGUGCAGGAUGAAGGCCUUCGGGUUGUAAACUGCUUUUGUACGGAACGAAAAGCCUUCUUUUAAUACAGGAGGGUCAUGACGGUACCGUAAGGAUAAGCACCGGCUAACUACGUG
rnacentral:rRNA from 1 species